GACGGAGGAUGCAAGCGUUAUCCGGAAUGAUUGGGCGUAAAGCGUCCGCAGGUGGCAGUUCAAGUCUGCUGUCAAAGACCGGGGCUUAACUUCGGAAAGGCGGUGGAAACUGAACAGCUAGAGUAUGGUAGGGGCAGAGGGAAUUCCUGGUGUAGCGGUGAAAUGCGUAGAGAUCAGGAAGAACACCGGUGGCGAAAGCGCUCUGCUAGGCCGCAACUGACACUGAGGGACGAAAGCUAGGGGAGCGAAUGGG
rnacentral:rRNA from 1 species